GGGUCAGUAGGUUGGUCGUGCCACCGGUACGUACUGGUCUCACUGAUUUCUCCUUCCUGAAGAACCGUAAUGCCAUUAAUUUGGUGUUGCGGGGAAACAGGACUGCUACAUUGAAAAAAUUAGAGUGUUUAAAGCAAGCUAACGCUUGAAUACAUUAGCAUGGAAUAAUGAAAUAGGACGAUCGAUCCUAUUUUGUUGGUUUCUAGGAUUGACGUA
rnacentral:rRNA from 1 species